rnacentral:rRNA from 1 species
AUGCAAGUCGAGCGGAAACGAGUUAUCUGAACCUUCGGGGAACGAUAACGGCGUCGAGCGGCGGACGGGUGAGUAAUGCCUAGGAAAUUGCCCUGAUGUGGGGGAUAACCAUUGGAAACGAUGGCUAAUACCGCAUGAUGCCUACGGGCCAAAGAGGGGGACCUUCGGGCCUCUCGCGUCAGGAUAUGCCUAGGUGGGAUUAGCUAGUUGGUGAGGUAAGGGCUCACCAAGGCGACGAUCCCUAGCUGGUCUGAGAGGAUGAUCAGCCACACUGGAACUGAGACACGGUCCAGACUCCUACGGGAGGCAGCAGUGGGGAAUAUUGCACAAUGGGCGCAAGCCUGAUGCAGCCAUGCCGCGUGUGUGAAGAAGGCCUUCGGGUUGUAAAGCACUUUCAGUCGUGAGGAAGGUGGUGUAGUUAAUAGCUGCAUUAUUUGACGUUAGCGACAGAAGAAGCACCGGCUAACUCCGUGCCAGCAGCCGCGGUAAUACGGAGGGUGCGAGCGUUAAUCGGAAUUACUGGGCGUAAAGCGCAUGCAGGUGGUUUGUUAAGUCAGAUGUGAAAGCCCGGGGCUCAACCUCGGAAUAGCAUUUGAAACUGGCAGACUAGAGUACUGUAGAGGGGGGUAGAAUUUCAGGUGUAGCGGUGAAAUGCGUAGAGAUCUGAAGGAAUACCGGUGGCGAAGGCGGCCCCCUGGACAGAUACUGACACUCAGAUGCGAAAGCGUGGGGAGCAAACAGGAUUAGAUACCCUGGUAGUCCACGCCGUAAACGAUGUCUACUUGGAGGUUGUGGCCUUGAGCCGUGGCUUUCGGAGCUAACGCGUUAAGUAGACCGCCUGGGGAGUACGGUCGCAAGAUUAAAACUCAAAUGAAUUGACGGGGGCCCGCACAAGCGGUGGAGCAUGUGGUUUAAUUCGAUGCAACGCGAAGAACCUUAC